AAGCUGACUCAUCUAGAAUAAUUCCUUUUCAAUUUCUUUCAAGAUAAGCACCACCUUCAUCUUUUUGUGCCCUUCUGGAAUAAUAUCCAAUGUCCCUGUGUCAACGAAACCUAUUCAGUUUCUCUACUAACUUUGACAACUUUGCUGCUGGUACUUUGAAGAUCAUCCGGUGACUUUUGCAGAGUAUCUGAACAGUGGGAUACAGGAACCCUUGGAGCGGUGGUAAUAACCUUUGUGAAGAUAGCCCUGCACCAUCCUUGUUCCCUAAUAUAGCAGCACCAAUCAGAGCAUCAAAUCCCUCCCAGGCUCUUCACACUGAACUGGCAGCAGAGCCUGCCUCUUUGGAKGGCACCCCCGUGAGCAGUUUGAGAGCAGCUGGUGCACUCCAGAAGCAAAUUCUGCCUUUGUUUCCAUCCAAAAGGAAUCUAAUUCAUGUGCCCCAGAAGAUGAACCAGAGCAUGACCAUCGGGAGAUUCGCUUUGAAAGGAUUUGUUUGA
rnacentral:lncRNA from 1 species